UCAUUGCUGACACGAUUGAGGGUGGGAU
rnacentral:sRNA from 1 species